GGUGAAAGGCUUGCUGCCUGAAGAAGAGCUUGCGUCUGAUUAGCUAGUUGGUGGGGUAAGAGCCUACCAAGGCGACGAUCAGUAGCUGGUCUGAGAGGAUGAUCAGCCACACUGGGACUGAGACACGGCCCAGACUCCUACGGGAGGCAGCAGUGGGGAAUUUUCCGCAAUGGGCGAAAGCCUGACGGAGCAAUACCGCGUGAGGGAGGAAGGCUCUUGGGUUGUAAACCUCUUUUCUCAGGGAAGAAAAAAAUGACGGUACCUGAGGAAUAAGCAUCGGCUAACUCCGUGCCAGCAGCCGCGGUAAUACGGAGGAUGCAAGCGUUAUCCGGAAUGAUUGGGCGUAAAGGGUCCGCAGGUGGCAUUGUAUGUCUGCUGUUAAAGAGUCUGGCUCAACCAGAUCAAAGCAGUGGAAACUACAAAGCUAGAGUAUGGUCGGGGCAGAGGGAAUUCCUGGUGUAGCGGUGAAAUGCGUAGAUAUCAGGAAGAACACCGGUGG
rnacentral:rRNA from 1 species